UUUUCAUCAGACAAUCUGUGUGAGCACUGCAAAGUACGCUUCUUUAAGGUAAGGAGGUGAUCCAACCGCAGGUUCCCCUACGGUUACCUUGUUACGACUUCACCCCAGUCAUGAAUCACAAAGUGGUAAGCGCCCUCCCGAAGGUUAAGCUACCUACUUCUUUUGCAACCCACUCCCAUGGUGUGACGGGCGGUGUGUACAAGGCCCGGGAACGUAUUCACCGUGGCAUUCUGAUCCACGAUUACUAGCGAUUCCGACUUCAUGGAGUCGAGUUGCAGACUCCAAUCCGGACUACGACGCACUUUAUGAGGUCCGCUUGCUCUCGCGAGGUCGCUUCUCUUUGUAUGCGCCAUUGUAGCACGUGUGUAGCCCUGGUCGUAAGGGCCAUGAUGACUUGACGUCAUCCCCACCUUCCUCCAGUUUAUCACUGGCAGUCUCCUUUGAGUUCCCGGCCGGACCGCUGGCAACAAAGGAUAAGGGUUGCGCUCGUUGCGGGACUUAACCCAACAUUUCACAACACGAGCUGACGACAGCCAUGCAGCACCUGUCUCACGGUUCCCGAAGGCACAUUCUCAUCUCUGAAAACUUCCGUGGAUGUCAAGACCAGGUAAGGUUCUUCGCGUUGCAUCGAAUUAAACCACAUGCUCCACCGCUUGUGCGGGCCCCCGUCAAUUCAUUUGAGUUUUAACCUUGCGGCCGUACUCCCCAGGCGGUCUACUUAACGCGUUAGCUCCGGAAGCCACGCCUCAAGGGCACAACCUCCAAGUAGACAUCGUUUACGGCGUGGACUACCAGGGUAUCUAAUCCUGUUUGCUCCCCACGCUUUCGCACCUGAGCGUCAGUCUUUGUCCAGGGGGCCGCCUUCGCCACCGGUAUUCCUCCAGAUCUCUACGCAUUUCACCGCUACNNNNNNNNNNNNNNNNNNNNCCCCCCUCUACAAGACUCAAGCCUGCCAGUUUCGAAUGCAGUUCCCAGGUUGAGCCCGGGGAUUUCACAUCCGACUUGACAGACCGCCUGCGUGCGCUUUACGCCCAGUAAUUCCGAUUAACGCUUGCACCCUCCGUAUUACCGCGGCUGCUGGCACGGAGUUAGCCGGUGCUUCUUCUGCGGGUAACGUCAAUUGCUGCGGUUAUUAACCACAACACCUUCCUCCCCGCUGAAAGUACUUUACAACCCGAAGGCCUUCUUCAUACACGCGGCAUGGCUGCAUCAGGCUUGCGCCCAUUGUGCAAUAUUCCCCACUGCUGCCUCCCGUAGGAGUCUGGACCGUGUCUCAGUUCCAGUGUGGCUGGUCAUCCUCUCAGACCAGCUAGGGAUCGUCGCCUUGGUGAGCCGUUACCUCACCAACAAGCUAAUCCCAUCUGGGCACAUCUGAUGGCAAGAGGCCCGAAGGUCCCCCUCUUUGGUCUUGCGACGUUAUGCGGUAUUAGCCACCGUUUCCAGUAGUUAUCCCCCUCCANNNNNNNNNNNNNNNNNNNNCCCGUCCGCCACUCGUCAGCAAAGCAGCAAGCUGCUUCCUGUUACCGUUCGACUUGCAUGUGUUAGGCCUGCCGCCAGCGUUCAAUCUGAGCCAUGAUCAAACUCUUCAAUUUAAAAGUUUGAUGCUCAAUGAAUUAAACUUCGUAAUGAAUUACGUGUUCACUCUUGAGACUUGGUAUUCAUUUUUCGUC
rnacentral:rRNA from 1 species